GGGAGCUGGAUCAGAAGUGCAGUAGCUGGGACUUGAACUUGUCAUCAGGAUAAAAGCAUCACAAGAACUGAACUUACAUAUGGAAGGAUUACUUCAAAAUAAGAAACUCCAUCAUUCCUGUGGAAGAUUAGACUGAAUGGCUUCCAUGUUGAUCAAGCAAAUGAUAUAGGCAAAUAUACAGAGAGGAGGAC